GAUACAGAUAUCACUUGUCAAUCAACUCUAGAACGCGCAUUAGCUAAACAAGCCUUUGGUUCUCUUCAGCUGCGGCUUCUGCGUGUGCGCUGAAGUUUCCUGUUGAAGGCUUGAUGUUGGAAAGAACCAUGGCGGCCACUGAGAUAGCUCGACAAGCGGGAGAGGGUGCACGUGCUGUCCCACUCUCUGGUCAUGUUGGCUUCGACAGCAUGCCAGACCAGCUGGUCAACAAAUCCGUCAACCAUGGCUUCUGCUUCAAUAUCCUCUGUGUUGGCGAGACGGGUUUGGGAAAGUCCACCCUCAUGGACACCCUGUUCAACACCAAGUUUGAGGGUGAACCUACACAGCACAAUCAGCCUGGAGUGCAGCUCAAAUCCAACACAUAUGAGCUGCAGGAAAGCAAUGUUCGCCUCAAACUCACUGUUGUCAACACUGUAGGCUUUGGAGAUCAGAUCAAUAAAGAGGACAGUUACAAGUCUAUUGUGGAGUUCAUCGAUGCUCAGUUUGAAGCAUACCUCCAGGAGGAACUGAAGAUUAAACGCACCCUACACAGUUAUCAUGAUACACGGAUUCACGCCUGUCUGUAUUUUAUUGCCCCCACUGGACACUCCCUAAAGUCCCUAGACCUGGUUACAAUGAAAAAGCUGGACAGUAAGGUGAAUAUUAUCCCCAUCAUUGCUAAAUCUGAUGCCAUCUCAAAGAGUGAACUUGCCAAAUUCAAGAUCAAGAUCACCAGUGAGUUAGUGAGCAAUGGUGUACAAAUCUACCAGUUCCCCACUGACGAUGAGACGGUGGCAGAGAUCAACUCAACCAUGAAUGGUCAUUUGCCUUUUGCGGUGGUGGGAAGCACUGAGGAAGUGAAGAUUGGGAACAAGAUGGUGCGAGCACGGCAGUACCCCUGGGGAACCGUCCAGGUGGAGAACGAGAAUCACUGUGAUUUCGUGAAGCUGAGGGAGAUGCUCAUCAGGGUGAACAUGGAGGACCUGCGAGAGCAGACCCAUACACGCCACUAUGAGCUUUACCGCCGCUGUAAGCUGGAGGAAAUGGGAUUCAAAGACACCGACCCUGACAGCAAACCCUUCAGCCUCCAGGAAACAUAUGAGGCCAAGAGGAAUGAGUUCAUGGGUGAACUGCAGAAGAAAGAGGAGGAGAUGAGGCAGAUGUUUGUCCAGAGAGUCAAAGAGAAGGAGGCAGAGCUGAAAGAGGCAGAGAAGGAGCUGCACGAAAAGUUUGACCGUCUCAAGAAGCUUCACCAGGAUGAGAAGAAAAAACUGGAGGACAAAAAGAAGGCUCUCGAUGAUGAGCUCAACAGCUUCAAGCAGAAAAAGACGGCCGCAGAGCUGCUGCAGUCCCAGGCCCAGCAGGCAGGGGGCUCCACACUCAAGAGGGAAAAAGAGAGGAAAAACUGAUUUGCCCCAUUCUCCUGACUAUUUUAUGGGAAGAAGACACUUGCUGAAAGUUCAGGAUUCCUGUAGAAAGUGCUCCCCCUGCCUGCUGUGAAUGAGUUCUUCCCCCUCAGUGUUCCUGCAUCAUGCUGUUCCUGUUCCCUCCCCCCCUCUCUCUCGUCCCCCCAGUUUCACGCAUAACACUGAGGAGGCGUAUUAACUGAAUGGAAUCCUUCAUUUAGAUUUUUUAAUACGUUAACUCUUUUAUGUUUAAAAUGCCAUUGUUUUUUUUCCCCCUUUGUUUUAUGAUGUCAUAGUGAUAUUGCUUUGUGCUGCAUGACUAGGGUAUGAUUUAACAUUAACAUGAGUGACUACUGUUGUGGGUAGGAAGCAGUUAUUAAACAGGCUAAAAUGAGACUGCCACCAAUUUUUUUUUUUUAGUGCCAUAUUUUGGGGCAUGCUUGGACAAUUCAAAGCCCUUACUGACCCCUUAAUGAAGAUGUAUUUGCAAAAUUCACUUCAAACAUGCAGUAAGGGUUAUGCAAAAAAAGAUUGAAAUUAUUUUUACUAUAUUUUCUAACUGAAUCGUAAUCCCUAUAGUAGUGCGUUGCUUUAGGACAAUGAGUUGUAAUGAACUGGUGUUUUCUCUCAUUUGAUCUCUGUGCAUGUCACACAGAUGCUCUCUGGUCACCUGCAGCCAUACCUCAAUGCUUUUAUAUACCUGUCAUUACUUUGCUUGUAUUAGCUUAUCUUGGCACAUUUCAUACAAAUGUAAGCACGUUUUGAUAGUUCUUUAUUUUUGUGACUUUUCUUCUUUCUUUUUAUUACAAAAUUAAAAUAAAGUUCACCAUUUCUAAUCAUGAAAUAUCAAAUGCAAAGGGACCAAUAUUUGUAUUGGUGUGCAGCACAAGUUUUAAAUAUAAGUAAUAAAGGGCAUUCUUUAUUAAACUUUUAAAA